GAUGAACGCUGGCGGCAUGCCUAAUACAUGCAAGUCAAACGGGUGUAGCAAUACACAAGUGGCGAACGGGUGAGUAACACAUAGACAACUUGUCCUUAAGACGAGGAUAACAGUUGGAAACGACUGCUAAAACUGGAUAGGAUAAAGUAACGCAUGUUAAGAUAUUUAAAGAUGCUUUUGGGCAUUACUUAAGGAGGGGUCUAUGUCGCAUUAGCUAGUUGGUGAGGUAAGGGCUCACCAAGGCGACGAUGCGUAGCUGUGCUGAGAGGCAAAACAGCCACACUGGGACUGAGACACGGCCCAGACUCCUACGGGAGGCAGCAGUAGGGAAUUUUCGGCAAUGGGGGGAACCCUGACCCGAGCAAUGCCGCGUGAAUGAAGACGAUCUUCGGAUUGUAAAGUUCUGUUAUUGGGAAAGAAAGAUAUGGCGAGGAAAUGCGUUAUAUUUGACGGUACCUGAUGAGAAAGCCCCGGCUAACUAUGUGCCAGCAGCCGG
rnacentral:rRNA from 1 species